GGGCUUUCAUUUUCCCCGAUCGGUCCCUAUAUUCGCUGUGUCGGCUCGACCGACUAUGGCGAUAAACAGGCGAUGCAAUAAGCCGUUCGGACCCGGGGGCGGUACCCGGCGCCUCCACCAAAAGCCGCUCGCUUCACCGCAAGCGGCUUCUGAUGGGGGCGAAACAGGAUCGACGAAGGUGUAAAGAUCGUGCUUUUGCCCGGCAUUGUACCACCGUUAUCGGGCUAAACUUGAUAGUUGCCAACGACAACUAUGCGGAAGCCCGUCUCGCUGCUUAAUGCGGUGCGACAGCUUCAAUCAAACUCCUAGGGGUUCGCACCUCUAGGCGGGGUUCGGAGGUACCUGGCAACAGAAACCUCCACU
rnacentral:tmRNA from 1 species